rnacentral:lncRNA from 1 species
AUCUGGAAAUGUAAUAACUUAAUCCUAAAUAUCAAGAAAACAAAGCAAAUAACUGAGUAUAUUGUACAGACCAAGAACAUGAGCAGAGUUCAGCCUGGGCGUGUGUUUGAGGCAGGAAGUUUUUGUUUUGUUGCAGUUUGGUCCUCAAAAAAGACUGUCCCAACACCCCGUGAUGGCUUGCGGUGGGAUGUUUUGCUGGGAAAAAGCUCACGUGAGAUGUGUUUUAAGGCCAGAGGGAUAAUCUAUCAUAAAGAUGAUGCUGAAUUCAGGAGUAUCUGUUACGCCGCAGCCGGAGGCUUUCUGGACUUGGCUUUCUGGACUUGGCACAAAAGCUUCAUUGGUGCCUUGCGCUGGGCCAAAGCGGUGCUGCUGGUGGUCGCAGACGUACCUCCGACUCAUUUGCCUUCCCGCUUCCCGAAACAGGAGCGCCAGAGAGGAACGGAGCCAGCAGGACUGAAAUCUGACUCUGUCUUCGCGAUGUCAAGAAAACCUGCGCUCUGCCCCUUGCCAGGCUCGCGCACAGCGAUUAUUCAUGCUGGAGACCCAAUGCUAGGAAACAUGGAGUCAGCCAGAGGGAAUGUCUAUGACUGGAAAGCCAUGAGUCUCUUCGUGGAUCAUUGUGUCCAAGCUGAGUUGCUCAGUGAGACCUUUCGUCUGUGGCAAAGAGACCAGAACAGUGUGAACGGAGCCAGCAACCUUCUACCACUCAGGCCACCAUCUCAAAACCAAAUGCCCUAAGGUGCUUUGCAAGCCUACAAUGCUCUUCCCAGCUGGGCGCGCUUCCCCACUCGCUCAACGCCCGUGAGUACUCACACUCCUACUGCGGACAUCUUCCUGGCGGCUCGGGUGUGUUGUGUCAUGUCCCGCUGUCACCGCUCCGCAGAUGACAUCAUAAAGCGAAGGGGACCCUGACGAGGGAGACAAAGCGGCCGGGGGUCUCGCGGGCUCCUCUGGAAGCUGCUGGGAGUGAAUAAGCGCUGACGGGGUCUCAGCGACACCCCGUUUCCACCCCUGCAGCAGCCCGUGUGAAUGCAGCACGCGGCGUUCGGGCAUUGCAGCUUUUUCAAUCCCGCACGUUACGGGCUAUGACUCUUUCCCGAGCAACGAAGCGAUUUAAAGACAGAAUUACAUUAAAAUAAGUUCUUCCCUAAUACAGUAUUUUGUUAACAAGUCAUAGUAUGGCAAGAUUAAGGUACAAAGUUCAUGGAUUCCUCUGACGCUGAUACGGGCAAUGUGAGAAGAUAGAUGUUUUGCUUGUUCGUGGCUUAAUGCCUGUCUUUUGGGUUUUUACCAAUUAAUAAAUAUUUGUAUUUUAUUGUUGGGAACGAUGAA